rnacentral:rRNA from 1 species
CUCCCUACCACCCCGAACACCUGAACACACCCAAUCUCGUCUGAUCUCAGAAGCUAAGCAGGGUCGGGCCUGGUUAGUACUUGGAUUGGAGAAAUGAGUUGCAUGCAUCUUUACUCACUGUGAGAAUUGGAAGAGU